rnacentral:misc_RNA from 1 species
GGAAGGAUCAUUACCACACCUAAAAAUCUUUCCACGUGAAUUGUUUUGCUGUAAACUUGGGCUUCGCCGUUGUUUCCUCGUAAAAAAAAAGGGAGCGCGGUUGGAGGCCAUCAGGGGUGCGUUCGUCGUGAGUUUUGUUAUUCGCGCGAGUGCGUCCUUUUGUCAACCCAUUUCUUUUGAAAACUGAUCAUACUGUGGGGACGAAAGUCUCUGCUUUUAACUAGAUAGCAACUUUCAGCAGUGGAUGUCUAGGCUCGCACAUCGAUGAAGAACGCUGCGAACUGCGAUACGUAAUGCGAAUUGCAGGAUUCAGUGAGUCAUCGAAAUUUUGAACGCAUAUUGCACUUUCGGGUUAUGCCUGGAAGUAUGUCUGUAUCAGUGUCCGUACACUAAACUUGCCUUUCUUGCGUCGUGUAGUCGUCGCUGGGAAUGCGCAGAUGUGAGGUUUGUCUUGCUUUCGUUCAUUUGAAUUUUUGGACAGGAGCAAGUCCCUUUAAAGUCGGACGUGUUUUCUCUCUGUAGUGUGCUGUGUCGGCGCUGGCGGCGUGUGAGACUCUUUGUCUGUUGACGAGUCUGGCGACCUUUGGCUCGUGCAUUGCGGGGUAUGCUCGAUUGGCGGUAUGUUAGGCUUCGGCUUUGACAAUGCAGCUUAUUGUGUGUGCUUCGUGGCGCGUGGCUGUAUGGGUGAACCGGAUGGUCUUCGGUCCUUUAUUGUGAGUUUUGCGCGCGUGUCUGUUGCUGGUUUGGCGUGCUGCGUUGGGGGACGGUCACCAUUUGGGAAUUUGUGCUUUUGUUUUGUGAUUAUUUUUUUGUUGCAAAAUAGGCAUCUCAAUUGGACCUGAUAUCAGACAAGAUUACCCGCUGAACUUAAGCAUAUCAAUAAGCGGAGGAAAAGAAACUAACAAGGAUUCCCCUAGUAACGGCGAGUGAAGCGGGAAGAGCUCAAGCUUAAAAUCUCUGCGCAAGUUUUGCGCGGCGAAUUGUAGUCUAUAGACGCGGCAUCAGUGCGGCCGUUCGGGGUAAGUUCCUUGGAAGAGGACAGCAAUGAGGGUGAUACUCCCGUUUGUACCCGAGUGUGUUGCACGUACGAUGCGUGUUCUUUGAGUCGCGUUGUUUGGGAAUGCAGCGCAAAGUAGGUGGUAAAUUCCAUCUAAAGCUAAAUAUUGGUGCGAGACCGAUAGCGAACAAGUACCGUGAGGGAAAGAUGAAAAGAACUUUGAAAAGAGAGUUAAAGAGUACCUGAAACUGCUGAAAGGGAACCGGGUCGUUGCCAGUGUCUAUAAUCCGCUGCAUAUUUCACUGCCGUGCGAGUCCGUGUCGCGCGUUGGUAGUAGUUUGUUCUGCACCGCGUGUGUCUGUGGGUUUGCUUGGCGGUGCCCUGUGUGGUGGUGGGACGUCAGAGUCAGUUCGUGUUGCUGCGGGAAAUGGCUGUCGAGGAGGUAGGUCAGGAGCUUGCUUUUGGCUGUUAUAUCUUGGCGUGCUAGUUGUCGUGGUUGGGACUGAGGUGCCUUACAACGUGCUUUUGGAGUGUGUGUGCGUCUCUGUGUGCGUCCGGAUUGGAUAGCUUGCUAUGCAGUUUGUCACGUGUGCGGAUGGAUGUGCGUGCUUACUUUUGGCCGUUCGGGACUUUGACGAAAUGGCGCGAUCCGACCCGUCUUGAAACACGGACCAAGGAGUCUAACAUGUGUGCAAGUGUUAGGGUGUGGAAACCCAAGCGCGAAAUGAAAGUAAAGGACAGCGUUGGUUGUCUGAGGUAGGAAACCCUUGCUCGUCAGGGGUGGCGCUAUCGACCGAUCAUGAACCCUCGUGGUGAAAGAUUUGAGUAUGAGCACAUAUGUUGGUACCCGAAAGAUGGUGAACUAUGCCUGAGUAGGGUGAAGCCAGGGGAAACUCUGGUGGAAGCUCGUAGCGAUUCUGACGUGCAAAUCGAUCGUCAAACUUGGGUAUAGGGGCGAAAGACUAAUCGAACCAUCUAGUAGCUGGUUCCCUC